rnacentral:tRNA from 1 species
GCCUGGGUGGCUCAGUUGGUUAAGUGCCUGACUUCGGCUUAGGUCACAAUCUUGUGGUUUGUGGGUUCAAGCCCCGCGUCGGGCU